ACAGCUGAAAAAAAUAAUAAAAUAAAAAUAACGAAAUGAAAGUAAAACAAAUAAAAACCAAAAACAAACAAAACUAAGUGCAGCGUAAUACUUAUAUGUACGAGUGUAAAUGUAAUGAAUUACAAGUUUUGCAGGCAGCGCGCUGAAUAACGAAAUUAUAUAAAUAAUAUAAAAAACCCGCACACACACAGAACAUUAACAAUAACAAAAUCAAAAACCUUUCAAUGCCUCCAGAAUCUGCAUCCCAACCUGAUGGCCAUGCAAAUAUGGUAGUUAUUGGCGGCCGUAAACCCUAAUGCAAUUAACAGGAAUAACUGAUUUCUCGAUUCAGAUGCAAGUGGGUGAAUAAAGUGAUUUGUUGUGAAUAGUGACGGGAUGAAUCGGAAUCGGAAUCAGAAUCAGCAGCCGCAGCAGCAUCGGCAGGAGGAACAGCAGCCGUCGGCCCACACGCUGGCAGGGGCAGGAAGGAAAGCCGGAUUGACAACCUACAUAUAUUACCACUUAUGUGCAUGCAUAACAACAUAAAAACGUAUUUGAUUAAGGACGAUGGUAUUAACGAAUCAGACAGUGUGGCCCACCUUAAUACAUACAACAUAAGGAACUAACUGUACAUCCACUGUACAUACAUAGGCCUUCAAGGUAAUUGAAAUCCAUAUGGCAUACUCCAUCCAACAUAUUUAUGUGCGCGUGUGUGUGUGUGAAGACGUAACGCAACGAAGC